rnacentral:snoRNA from 1 species
AACUCCUGGCUCGGAGUUCAUUUCUGUAGUUCAUUACUAGAAAAAAUUUUCUCAGAAUGUGUGGUGAAGGAGACACAGUGUUCUCUCUUAAGUGUGAAGCUGGCUCUUGAUGUUGCUUUAAUGCAACUGUCAUUUGUCACUGGUGAUCAUUCUUCUUUCCCUUUGGGAGAGUUAGAGGGAGAGAAUGCAGUCUGU